rnacentral:lncRNA from 1 species
GACUGUGAGGCAGAUCGGCGACGAGCUGAAGAAACAGGCACGGAUCGACUGACGAACCGGACCAUAAACGCAGCGGAAGACCGUAAUCGAAGAGAACCUAGGGUUUAGGGUGGUUCGUGAGGUUUUAAUCGGUGAAACGGAAGAUUUCAAUGUUUUAAUCGGUGUAAAAGGCUCGAAGCUAGGCUCAAUCGGUGAGAUGGAGGAGAUUGAGGUUUCAAUC